GAUGAAGAACGUAGCGAAAUGCGAUAAGUAAUGUGAAUUGCAGAAUUCAGUGAAUCAUCGAAUCUUUGAACGCACAUUGCGCCCGCUAGUAUUCUGGCGGGCAUGCCUGUCCGAGCGUCAUUUCAACCCUCAAGCCCCCGGGCUUGGUGUUGGGGAUCGGCGAGCCUCCGCGCCCGCCGUCCCCUAAAUCUAGUGGCGGUCUCGCUGUAGCUUCCUCUGCGCAGUAGUAAAACACUCGCAACAGGAGCCCGGCGCGGUCCACUGCCGUAAAACCCCCCAACUUUUUAUAGUUGACCUCGAAUCAGGUAGGACUACCCGCUGAACUUAAGCAUAUCAAUAAGCGGAGGA
rnacentral:misc_RNA from 1 species